rnacentral:rRNA from 1 species
UACGUAGGUGGCAAGCGUUGUUCGGAAUUAUUGGGCGUAAAGGGCGCGUAGGCGGUUUGUUAAGUCGGUUGUGAAAGCCCGGGGCUCAACCCCGGAGAGUCGACCGAUACUGGCAGACUAGAGUACGGAAGAGGUAACUGGAAUUCCCGGUGUAGCGGUGAAAUGCGUAGAUAUCGGGAGGAAUACCUGAGGCGAAGGCGGGUUACUGGGCCGAUACUGACGCUGAUGCGCGAAAGCCAGGGGAGCAAACGGG